rnacentral:rRNA from 1 species
UACGUAGGGGGCAAGCGUUGUCCGGAUUUAUUGGGCGUAAAGAGCGUGUAGGCGGUUUGGUAGGUCCGUUGUGAAAACUCGAGGCUCAACCUCGAGACGCCGGUGGAAACCAUCAGACUAGAGUCCGGAAGAGGAGAGUGGAAUUCCUGGUGUAGCGGUGAAAUGCGCAGAUAUCAGGAAGAACACCCGUGGCUAAGGCGGCUCUCUAGUACGGUACUGACGCUGAGACGCGAAAGCGUGGGGAGCGAACAGG